UUGAUAUUACAAUAAAGUCGAGUAGAGGAAUGGGCCGAGACAUGUCAAGAUUAGUGUGCUGCCACGCUGAUGCGUGGCA